CCAGUAAGGGAAAAAAAAAAAAUACUCAAUUACCCCACCUGGACAAGAAGGAGGACUUCUUUUCCAGAUGAGUGUCUUACCUGAAGGAAAUGAGUAAAACCAGCAAAACACUCUUACUCUCCCAGGGUACUUGCAGUGAAAGACAGGAUCUAAGUGACCUUCAUGCAUGCUCUACAUGCAAAGGGAAAAGCAGCUGAAAUCCCAACUCAAGGUGACUUAAACCAGAAGGAAAUUACUCUCUUAAAUAACAGGUGGUCUAGAAUCUGAUGGUUCUCCAGGAAGGUCCAGAAACUCAACUAAGUCAUCAAGAAUGAGAUUCUUUCCCACUCUGUUUUGCAUAGUACUAGCUUCAAACCAAACUUGGUUCCCCUCUGUCAUAAGCACAAAGCCCAAGUCCAGGGAAACCAGGCGUGAUUUUUCUGAACUGACUCGAUCUUUUCCCAUUAAUGACGUGAGAAAUCUGUGUGUCUUACCUGAUGCUCUGAGAUAAAGGGAUUCCUUAUCUUCACACGUACACCAAACGCUCGAUUUCCAAAAUGAAGCCAGUAAAAGAAGGAAGAAGAAUGCAUUGAGCCUUGGUUUCCUCAUCUUUCGAGUAGAGACAAUACUAUCUAUAUCAACUAGAUGGAUUUGAGAUUAAAUAAAAUACUGUUUAUAUAUAUAUAAAAUACCAGCAAGGGCAAG